rnacentral:rRNA from 1 species
UGGCUCAGGAUGAACGCUAGCGACAGGCUUAACACAUGCAAGUCGAGGGGCAGCGGGGGUGAUGGCUUGCCAUCACCUGCCGGCGACUGGCGCACGGGUGAGUAACACGUAUGCAACCUGCCCGCCACAGGGGGAUAAGCGGAAGAAAUUCCGUCUAAUACCGCGUGACGCGGCGCCGGGGCAUCCCGGUGCCGCCAAAGGGAUUACCGGUGGCGGAUGGGCAUGCGGCGCAUUAGCUAGUCGGCGGGGUAACGGCCCACCGAGGCGACGAUGCGUAGGGGUUCUGAGAGGAAGGUCCCCCACACUGGUACUGAGACACGGACCAGACUCCUACGGGAGGCAGCAGUGAGGAAUAUUGGUCAAUGGGCGCGAGCCUGAACCAGCCAAGUCGCGUGAGGGAUGACGGUCCUACGGAUUGUAAACCUCUUUUGCCGGGGAGCAAGCGUGCGUUCGUGAACGCGCGUCGAGAGUACCCGGAGAAAAAGCAUCGGCUAACUCCGUGCCAGCAGCCGCGGUAAUACGGAGGAUGCGAGCGUUAUCCGGAUUUAUUGGGUUUAAAGGGUGCGUAGGCGGGAUGCCAAGUCAGCGGUAAAAAUGCGGUGCUCAACGCCGUCGAGCCGUUGAAACUGGCGUUCUUGAGUGGGCGAGAAGUAUGCGGAAUGCGUGGUGUAGCGGUGAAAUGCAUAGAUAUCACGCAGAACUCCGAUUGCGAAGGCAGCAUACCGGCGCCCUACUGACGCUGAGGCACGAAAGCGUGGGUAUCGAACAGGAUUAGAUACCCUGGUAGUCCACGCAGUAAACGAUGAAUGCUAACUGUCCGGCUCGAAUGAGCGCUGGGCGGUACAGCGAAAGCGUUAAGCAUUCCACCUGGGGAGUACGCCGGCAACGGUGAAACUCAAAGGAAUUGACGGGGGCCCGCACAAGCGGAGGAACAUGUGGUUUAAUUCGAUGAUACGCGAGGAACCUUACCCGGGCUCAAACGCAGGAUGACGGGUCCCGAAAGGGGUCUUUCUUCGGACAUUCUGCGAGGUGCUGCAUGGUUGUCGUCAGCUCGUGCCGUGAGGUGUCGGCUUAAGUGCCAUAACGAGCGCAACCCCUGUCCACAGUUGCCAGCAGGUAAAGCUGGGGACUCUGUGGAGACUGCCGGCGCAAGCUGCGAGGAAGGCGGGGAUGACGUCAAAUCAGCACGGCCCUUACGUCCGGGGCGACACACGUGUUACAAUGGCAGGUACAGCGGGAUGCCACGGGGCGACCCGGCGCUGAACCCGAAAACCUGUCUCAGUUCGGAUUGGAGUCUGCAACCCGACUCCAUGAAGCUGGAUUCGCUAGUAAUCGCGCAUCAGCCACGGCGCGGUGAAUACGUUCCCGGGCCUUGUACACACCGCCCGUCAAGCCAUGGAAGCCGGGGGUACCUGAGUGCGUGACCGCGAGGAGCGCCCUAGGGUAAAACCGGUGACUGGGGAUAAGUCGUAACAAGGUAACCGU